rnacentral:rRNA from 1 species
UACGGAGGGGGCUAGCGUUGUUCGGAAUUAUUGGGCGUAAAGGGCGCGUAGGCGGCUGAACAAGUCAAAGGUGAAAUCCCUCGGCUCAACUGAGGAACUGCCUUUGAAACUGUUCGGCUUGAGGCCGGGAGGGGGUAGCGGAAUUCCCAGUGUAGCGGUGAAAUGCGUAGAUAUUGGGAGGAACACCAGUGGCGAAGGCGGCUACCUGGACCGGUUCUGACGCUGAGGCGCGAAAGCGUGGGUAGCAAACAGG